AACUCUGAAGGGAGGCAUUCAAGAGAUCCUUCUUUUUGUACGUACACACACCCAUCUCUGGCGCAUUCCUGGACAUUUUGGGGGCUUCCUGGAUGUUGAAAGUUUUCUUUAUGAUUUUUCCGGCUGUGAAAAAGAAAUAUUUCUUUCUUUUACUCUGAAUUUAUUCCCGUGACAUCAUUUUGUGGGGCUCCUCACAGCAAGAAUUAAAAAAAAAUUAGAGACACAUUUAUUGCCCAAAAAUGGAUUUCCCAAAAAAAAAAACGGGAGGUUGAGGCCAAAAACAUAACAUAGAUGGGAUAGAGAGAAGUUCUACUAUUUUUUUCUGUGUGAAAAAAAUCAUUCUCUCUGACUCGUUUUACGUAAGCGAAUUACGCUAAUCGCUUUUUUUGUUGCUCAUCUUUUUUUAAAGUCCAUUCAUGUGAUCUGUUUGUUCCUCGCGCGCGCUUUUGGGCUCGUCUCUUACUUUGCUUCACUGAAAAUAUUAAAGGGGCAAACAGCUGGUGAAUUUUAUUGCUUUGCUUUUAGUUUUUUUCUUUUCAUUUGCUUUUGAGAAGUAUUUGAAGCAAAAUUUAAAAGCUUUAAAUUGUGCAUAAAAAGAUUUUCUCUGUAAAAAAAAAAAGAUUUUUCGCGGGAUUCGAACCCAUGACUUUAGAAAGAAAUGAUCGUGUUUGAACCUAUUGCACUAAAGAGUGUUACACUGGAGUGUUUUUUUCUUUUUUUUCUUAAAGGUUUGUAGAUAAUUUAUAAAUUUUAUUUGUUCUGAAUUUUUUGAAAUUCUCGGUUUUCUUUAAAAAGAAUCUCAGAAAAUCCUUUUGAUUGGAUUUCAUAUCGAGAACUAAUAACUUUUAAUUCUUUAAUCUUUAUCUACUUUAGCACAGAAUUUGUAGGAUUUUUUUAAAGCUACAGGAACUUAGAUUGAGAUCUUUUGGGGAGAAUUUUGUGUAAAAAAAAUCAAAGUUCUGAAAGAAAAAAAUCAAACAAGGACGAGAUUCGAUCCCACUUCAUUGGAAUAGUUAGAAGAAAUCAAAGAGAAGCAAUUUUAACCUCUCGGCUAUCAGUGACUCAAUUUAUAAUUUUUUUGAAUAGUUCUUAUGAAAUUUUCAUAAUUUUUGACAUUUAAAGAAAAUAAGAGUUAGUUUUAAAAAAUUCUCCAAUUUAUUUAAAUUAUUUAGUAUAGGUAAAUUUUUUCUCCAUCUAUUUGCCCUUUUGUUUCCAUCAAUUUUUCGCGCAAAAUCUAUUAUGCACACACACUGAACCACAUAAAAAAUAAAUAAUACUUAACACAGCUGGAACAGCUGGAAGGUCUUUUUCUCUGUACAAUAAUUUCCACGCAAUUUCCUAUAAAACAUUUACUUAAAAAAAAUUAUUUAGAAUUUAAGAAAAAAGAAAAAUCCAACUAAAUUCAUCUUUACACGAUCCCCGUGCUUUUUGCAUUUAAUUUUAUCUGCUGAGCUUGACGCCGUUUUUUUUUAAAUUUAUUUUCUUGUUGAACUGUUGCUUCUAACGGAGGAGGAGGGGACGGCCUUGUGGGGUGGGGGCGUGCAGGGAAAAAAAUCUGUGAAGCUCCCAGGCUGUGUCCCUGGCCAAAUUAUUAAAAAAAAUUGGCACUUUGCCAAAAUUUGAUGUUCAUGUUACGAAACAGACACACACGUAGAGAGACAGACGUUGGGUUCCCCAUUCGAAGAAAGCGAAAUAAACAAGAGAAAAUAACAAAUCCCACCCACAAUUUUUCAAGGAUCACAAAAUAAAAGAAAAAAAAACUCCACGGGGUUGGGCAUUUGUUUGUAUAAAUUUGCAACAUUUAGCAGAGAAGCCCUCACAGAGAGAAAUUCUCAAAUAUAUUCUUUUCUUUGUAAGAAAGUCUGUGGUGGUGGAGAUCAAGCCAAGAAUGCGCACCUACAAUCCACCCUCGUGAGCCACUCAAGUUCAAUGUCAAAGACGUUGACCGUCAAUGUGACUCUCGAACGCCCAACGAGUUUAUAUUGUAUUGAGGCCAGACUUUUUUUUAUUGUAAAUUGAGAGGAGCACAGAUAUGUGAUUGAAUAAAAUGCAAAAAAAAAUUAAUUUAAAAGCAAA